rnacentral:rRNA from 1 species
GAUUAAGUUAUUAAGGGCGCACGGUGGAUGCCUUGGCACUAGAAGCCGAUGAAGGACGUUACUAACGACGAUAUGCUUUGGGGAGCUGUAAGUAAGCUUUGAUCCAGAGAUUUCCGAAUGGGGAAACCCAGCAUGAGUUAUGUCAUGUUAUCGAUAUGUGAAUACAUAGCAUAUCAGAAGGCACACCCGGAGAACUGAAACAUCUUAGUACCCGGAGGAAGAGAAAGAAAAUUCGAUUCCCUUAGUAGCGGCGAGCGAAACGGGAAGAGCCCAAACCAACAAGCUUGCUUGUUGGGGUUGUAGGACACUCUAUACGGAGUUACAAAGGACGACAUUAGACGAAUCAUCUGGAAAGAUGAAUCAAAGAAGGUAAUAAUCCUGUAGUCGAAAAUGUUGUCUCUCUUGAGUGGAUCCUGAGUACGACGGAGCACGUGAAAUUCCGUCGGAAUCUGGGAGGACCAUCUCCUAAGGCUAAAUACUCUCUAGUGACCGAUAGUGAACCAGUACCGUGAGGGAAAGGUGAAAAGCACCCCGGAAGGGGAGUGAAAUAGAACCUGAAACCGUGUGCUUACAAGUAGUCAGAGCCCGUUAAUGGGUGAUGGCGUGCCUUUUGUAGAAUGAACCGGCGAGUUACGAUUUGAUGCAAGGUUAAGCAGUAAAUGUGGAGCCGUAGCGAAAGCGAGUCUGAAUAGGGCGUUUAGUAUUUGGUCGUAGACCCGAAACCAGGUGAUCUACCCUUGGUCAGGUUGAAGUUCAGGUAACACUGAAUGGAGGACCGAACCGACUUACGUUGAAAAGUGAGCGGAUGAACUGAGGGUAGCGGAGAAAUUCCAAUCAAACCUGGAGAUAGCUGGUUCUCUCCGAAAUAGCUUUAGGGCUAGCCUCAAGUGAUGAUUAUUGGAGGUAGAGCAACUGUUUGGACGAGGGGCCCCUCUCGGGUUACCGAAUUCAGACAAACUCCGAAUGCCAAUUAAUUUAACUUGGGAGUCAGAACAUGGGUGAUAAGGUCCGUGUUCGAAAGGGAAACAGCCCAGACCACCAGCUAAGGUCCCAAAAUAUAUGUUAAGUGGAAAAGGAUGUGGCGUUGCCCAGACAACUAGGAUGUUGGCUUAGAAGCAGCCAUCAUUUAAAGAGUGCGUAAUAGCUCACUAGUCGAGUGACACUGCGCCGAAAAUGUACCGGGGCUAAACAUGUUACCGAAGCUGUGGAUUGUCCUUUGGACAAUGGUAGGAGAGCGUUCUAAGGGCGUUGAAGCAUGAUCGUAAGGACAUGUGGAGCGCUUAGAAGUGAGAAUGCCGGUGUGAGUAGCGAAAGACGGGUGAGAAUCCCGUCCACCGAUUGACUAAGGUUUCCAGAGGAAGGCUCGUCCGCUCUGGGUUAGUCGGGUCCUAAGCUGAGGCCGACAGGCGUAGGCGAUGGAUAACAGGUUGAUAUUCCUGUACCACCUAUAAUCGUUUUAAUCGAUGGGGGGACGCAGUAGGAUAGGCGAAGCGUGCGAUUGGAUUGCACGUCUAAGCAGUAAGGCUGAGUAUUAGGCAAAUCCGGUACUCGUUAAGGCUGAGCUGUGAUGGGGAGAAGACAUUGUGUCUUCGAGUCGUUGAUUUCACACUGCCGAGAAAAGCCUCUAGAUAGAAAAUAGGUGCCCGUACCGCAAACCGACACAGGUAGUCAAGAUGAGAAUUCUAAGGUGAGCGAGCGAACUCUCGUUAAGGAACUCGGCAAAAUGACCCCGUAACUUCGGGAGAAGGGGUGCUCUUUAGGGUUAACGCCCAGAAGAGCCGCAGUGAAUAGGCCCAAGCGACUGUUUAUCAAAAACACAGGUCUCUGCUAAACCGUAAGGUGAUGUAUAGGGGCUGACGCCUGCCCGGUGCUGGAAGGUUAAGAGGAGUGGUUAGCUUCUGCGAAGCUACGAAUCGAAGCCCCAGUAAACGGCGGCCGUAACUAUAACGGUCCUAAGGUAGCGAAAUUCCUUGUCGGGUAAGUUCCGACCCGCACGAAAGGCGUAACGAUUUGGGCACUGUCUCAACGAGAGACUCGGUGAAAUCAUAGUACCUGUGAAGAUGCAGGUUACCCGCGACAGGACGGAAAGACCCCGUGGAGCUUUACUGUAGCCUGAUAUUGAAAUUCGGCACAGCUUGUAACAGGAUAGGUAGGAGCCUUUGAAACGUGAGCGCUAGCUUACGUGGAGGCGCUGGUGGGAUACUACCCUAGCUGUGUUGGCUUUCUAACCCGCACCACUUAUCGUGGUGGGAGACAGUGUCAGGCGGGCAGUUUGACUGGGGCGGUCGCCUCCUAAAAGGUAACGGAGGCGCUCAAAGGUUCCCUCAGAAUGGUUGGAAAUCAUUCAUAGAGUGUAAAGGCAUAAGGGAGCUUGACUGCGAGACCUACAAGUCGAGCAGGGUCGAAAGACGGACUUAGUGAUCCGGUGGUUCCGCAUGGAAGGGCCAUCGCUCAACGGAUAAAAGCUACCCCGGGGAUAACAGGCUUAUCUCCCCCAAGAGUUCACAUCGACGGGGAGGUUUGGCACCUCGAUGUCGGCUCAUCGCAUCCUGGGGCUGUAGUCGGUCCCAAGGGUUGGGCUGUUCGCCCAUUAAAGCGGUACGCGAGCUGGGUUCAGAACGUCGUGAGACAGUUCGGUCCCUAUCCGUCGUGGGCGUAGGAAAUUUGAGAGGAGCUGUCCUUAGUACGAGAGGACCGGGAUGGACAUACCUCUGGUGUACCAGUUGUCGUGCCAACGGCAUAGCUGGGUAGCUAUGUGUGGACGGGAUAAGUGCUGAAAGCAUCUAAGCAUGAAGCCCCCCUCAAGAUGAGAUUUCCCAACUUCGGUUAUAAGAUCCCUCAAAGAUGAUGAGGUUAAUAGGUUCGAGGUGGAAGCAUGGUGACAUGUGGAGCUGACGAAUACUAAUCGAUCGAAGACUUAAUCAA